AGUGUAACUUGACGUUGCUUAUAAUUCAAUUUUCUAGCUUCUUAUAUAGUUUAUUUGCGCACAAAUUUGCCUCAAAAUUAGCCCUAAAAUAGAGAU